rfam:Gossypium raimondii Chr07_contig_349, whole genome shotgun sequence.
UACGUCAGCUCGCUUUGCUGAUGUGGACACAAAUUGCGCAUUCGUGGACGCGAUUUGUUGCCAUGUCAGCAAAGCGUGCUGACGUGG